rnacentral:rRNA from 1 species
UACCAGCUCUCCGAGUGGUGUGGAUGUUUAUUGGGCCUAAAGCAUCCGUAGCUGGCUGGACAAGUCCCCUGUUAAAUCCACCGAUUUAAUCGUUGGUGUGCGGGGGAUACUGUUCGGCUAGGGGACGGGAGAGGCCGACGGUAUUUCCGGGGUAGGGGUGAGAUCCUAUAAUCCCGGGAAGACCACCAGUGGCGAAGGCUGUCGGCUAGAACGCGCCCGACGGUGAGGGAUGAAAGCUGGGGGAGCGAACCGGAUUAGAUACCCGGGUAGUCCCAGCUGUAAACGAUGCAGGCUAGGUGUUUGGGCGGCCACGAGCCGCUCUAGUGCCGCAGGGAAGCUGUUAAGCCUGCCGCCUGGGGAGUACGGCCGCAAGGCUGAAACUUAAAGGAAUUGGCGGGGAGCACCACAAGGGGUGAAGCUUGCGGUUU